UCCAACCAGAAGUGCAAGCAGAUAAAGUGCAGAGUGUACAUAAAUAAAUGUACAGUGUGAAAUGUACAUGGAGCAGUAUGUGCAUUAAGCAGGUGGGUUGUAAAUACGAAUGACAAGUUAGUGCAAAUGUAACAUAGUUGUGCAAAUAUGGCAUAAUUGUGCAACUCAGCAGGGUGACAGCGGUAGUUUUCACCCUCCUUUGGCUUUGCACACAAUAAGCUCCUUGGUGACACCGAUGAUCAUUCCACACACAUGUUUAUCAAUUUAUAGUGAUGGAUAUGCUUUGAUAUGUUACUGUAACAAUUUGCAUCACCAGUGAGUCAAACACACAUUUAUCUUUUAAUAUUUGGGAAUAAGGGGAUACAAUAAUUGUAGUCUAUUAAAAAAGGAUUUAAAAUAAGAUCUGGUUCAUCUUUUGGUAAUUUGAUAUUUGGUAGUUAUCAGUUACCAGGGAAAGAAUGAUGAAAUAACAAAUUCUACAGCAGCAAAUGUAAAUGAUCAUGUAAGUAGGCAUCAAGUAAAGAAUUAAUCAGAAAUUACUUUGUUUGAAAAAUUGAUGAGUGGAGUUAGAAAGACUGGCAAAUCCUAUUUGUGUGUUCUAUAUUUGUGUGUACUAAAAUGUGUUCUGUGAACCAAGGAGAUCUUUGUCCAGGGCAAAGUCCCCCCCGCGUGCGCUUGAUUAGCAAGCUAGCCGCGUAGCCAGACAACCUCCCUCCUCCGUUUGUAGAGUAAUAGCACAUUUCGCUCUUAUCUCGCAAAUUAGAAAAAAACAUUUCUUUCAGCACAAUAUUCCCCCAUCACAUCCCGUGGGAAUUCACCAGCCAAUGACGUCGCAGUGAGGACUAGCCAAUCACAGCACAGCAGGGCGCGGACUAGCCAAUCACAGCACAGCAGGGCGCGUGGACACGAGUGGCGACCAGGCGGUUUGUCUGUUCGACGUGUGGCUGCUGGUUGUUCGCUCAAAGACAUUAAGUAUCCAGAACUUCUCCAGCCGAAGGAAAAGCGAGUAGGAGUCAGACUUUUCCAGCAGAGCAGAUCAGAAGGUGUUCCCGGCGGUCGACUGGGCAUCAACGGAGAGGCCCUGCAGCCAUGUUGGUGUCCUGCGGCUUUGGUGGUGGUUGCGGUUUGACUUGGAAGCUGGCGAUGCACCUAGACAGGAGGGACGUGUUGAGGUCGGAGAUCCUGAAUACGCGGUUGGAUAAACGUUUGUGAGACACUGGGGCAUCGCUGAGCAGCCGGGUUCCUACGGUCUCUUCUGGUCGCCGCUAAAACGUUCUGUCGCUUAUUGUUUAGCCUUUUCUUGGGGCGGAUUCCCGGGAUGAGCAUUUGUUCUGGCUGUUGAAAAACCCUGAGUACCAGCCUUAAAUGACAGCAGUGCAUAAAGCAUGCAUUAGCGAAUCACUGCCUGUAUGUCACAGUACAGUGAGCUCAAAACUACAUGCAUAAACAUUACAGCUGA